UUACAGGUGGGGCUUUUUUUCUUAAACCUUUAUCCAUCUUGAAAAUUCUUCUCCAGGAGAGGGAAGAAUGGUUAUCUUCAUUUGAUCAAUGGGAGAGGAGGCACAAGACAAGAUGUACAUGGAAGAUCUGUCUUAACAACUUUCAUUCUCAGUGGCCUGAUUGUCAGCAGCAGUAGCCUCUUUUCAGCAAGGGAGAUGGAUGCACUACACUAUGUACAUCAGCAGUAAACAAGGACCAGCAAAGUUGAACUCAGUGCUGGAAUCACCAGCAAAGAAGAUUAUUCUGAUGAUGAAAUGAACUUUCCCUUUCUUACUAGUUCUUAUGUCGUUGUCUAAAAAACAAAAUAAACAAAUCCAUAGAAAAC
rnacentral:lncRNA from 1 species